rnacentral:rRNA from 1 species
AACGAACGAUGGCGGGAGGGGGAACAGAGGCAAGUCGAACGAAGCCUUCGGGCUUAGUGGCGCACGGGUGCGUAACGCGUGGGAAUCUGCCCUUGGGUUCGGAAUAACAGUUAGAAAUGACUGCUAAUACCGGAUGAUGUCUUCGGACCAAAGAUUUAUCGCCCCAGGAUGAGCCCGCGUCGGAUUAGCUAGUUGGUGAGGUAAAGGCUCACCAAGGCGACGAUCCGUAGCUGGUCUGAGAGGAUGAUCAGCCACACUGGGACGGAGACCCGGCCCAGACUCCUACGGGAGGCAGCAGUGGGGAAUAUUGGACAAUGGGCGAAAGCCUGAUCCAGCAAUGCCGCGUGCGUGCUGCCGGCUUUAGGGUUGUAAAGCUCUUUUACCCGGGAUGAUAAUGACAGUACCGGGAGAAUAAGCCCCGGCUCCCUCCGUC